rnacentral:tmRNA from 1 species
GGGGCUGAUUAUGGAUUCGACGAAAUUUACAAAACCCAAAGUGCAUGCCGAGGUACGGUAGGCCUCGCUAAAAAACCGUAAAAAAUAGUUGCAAACGAAGAAAACUACGCACUAGCAGCUUGAUAAACUGCUUAGAGCCCUCUCUCCCUAGCCUCUGCUCUUAGGACGGGGAUUAAGAGAGGUCAGAAUCAAAAGAGAUCGCGUCCGAUGCCCUGCCUGGGGUUGAAGCGUUAAAAUUAAUCAGGCUAGUUUGUCAGUGGCGUGUCCGUCCGCUGUUGGCGAACAAAUAUAAAGACUGGAAUAAGCAUGUAGUACUGAGGAUGUAGUGAUUUCGGACGCGGGUUCGAUUCCCGCCAGCUCCA